ensembl:lncRNA
CACACACACACACACACACACACUCACUCCCUUGCCAGAGUAUCUUGUUUAAAAUCUCUAUGACCCUGCAGUUAUGUUGUACUGGAUUGAAUGGUGGCUCCAUUCAACAGGAGAUAUGUUUAUACCCUAAUCUCUUGGAACCUGUGAAUGUGACCUUAUUUGGAAAAAGGAUCUUAGCUGUAGAUGUAAUUAAAUCAAAGAUUUCCUGAUAAAAUUAUCCUGGAUUAUUCAGAUAGGUCCUAAAUCCAAUGACAACUCAUAAGAAACUCAUAGCAGGGAUACUCAGAGAGACAGAGAAGGCCCUAUGAAAAUAGAGGCAGAGGUUGGAGCUAGUGAAGGAACAUCUGGAGCACCAAAAGCUGAAGGAGGAGCUAAGAAAGACUCUUCUCUAGAGGCUUCUUUGGAUAAUCCUUACAUUGACUGGGAGACCAACUGGAAGCAUCAGUAGGAGAGCCACCCUGUCUGGCCUCACAAGGUAAUUGUGUUGGGGGAGAGGUGGAAAGUUUGGUAUCCUGAACAAAAUCAUUGGUGAGAUCCUUAAGCUGUUUUUACUUUUUAAAUUUAUUUAUUUAAUUAAUUAUUAGUUUGGGAAGGAUCAUUGAUUUACAAUGUUAUGUUAAUUUCUGGUGUACAGCAAAGUGAUUCAGUUUUAUAUGUAUAAUCUUUUUCCAGUUCUUUUCCAUUAUGGUUUAUUAAAGGAUAUUGAAUGUAGUUCCCUGUGCUAUACAAUAGAAACUUGUUUAUUAUUGUGUUAUUAUUUAAAAUAUUCAUUUGUUUGUUAUAUUUGGAUUCUACAUAUAAGUGAUAACAUACAGUAUCCGUCUUUCUCUGUCUGACUUAUUUCACUAAGCAUAAUGCCUUCCAUCCGGUCUCAGAUUCUUUCAGCAUCGGAACUGGAUGGGCCCUGGAAGUGGUUGAAGGAAACUGAAAUUGCAGGCUCAGCUCUCCCUUCCCAGUCCAGACCAGCAAGGCCUUGGGGUUCUUUCCACCUUUGGCAAUUAAACUGUAAGGAAAACCAUGGUAGGUCAACAAUGGAUAGACCACACGUGGUUAAAACAAAGCUGAAUCCUAAUAUAGGCCCAAAGACAGUGAGUUAACAAGUGGCAAAUACAUGAAUGCUGGCAAGUACCUCCUGGGGACCCUGAAGACCUUGGACUUGAAAUUCUUACCUCCUGAGCAGAGUCCAGACCCCUUCGCCUGGCAGCAGCUCAGUGUCCACUCAUCAAGGGUAAGAGCCCUGGAUUCAGAGCCCAAUAAAUCUUGGUUUAACACCUUUGCUGUUCCA